GGCGUUCUUUUCACGUACGAUCAUGGUUCAAAGACAUUUAAUCAUAGAAGGAAAUUAAGUAGAACUUAUUUAUACAUUUUAUUAUGAAAGUAACUUUUUAUUAUUCAGAAGUGGUUACAAUACUUGACCCAUUUUGGUCAUUACAAAGAGUUGAAAUAUCGGGUUGUCACAUCAUCCCCCCGUUAGAGAGAAUUUCGUCCCGAAAUUUAAAGUAGUAAAGAUACUAGUGAACAUGAAAGAGAUGAGGGUACUUUUGUUUCAUCUGAUCUUCGCGUUCCCAUGUGAAUUCAGGUCCCCGCUUGGCGUUCCAGCGAACCUUCACGAUGGGUAUGCGACUUUGUUUUGUUUGUUUGACCUCUCGGUCCAUGAUUUCUACUGGUUCUUCCACAAAGUUGAGGCUCUCGUUGAUCUCGAUCUCGUCGAGUGGAAUAACAAGAGUCUCAUCGGACAGACACUUUUUCAAGUUUGAGACGUGGAAGGUUGGAUGUAUGUUACUAAGUUCACGCGGUAGGUUAAGCUUGUAAGCCACAGGGCCGAUUCUGGCAAGAAUCUCGAAAGGCCCUAUGUAUCUUGGAUUUAGUUUCCCACGCUUUCCAAAGCGUAUUAAACCCUUCCACGGUGAGACCUUUAAUAAAACGUGGUCUCCUACCUGGAAUUCCAAAGGUUUCCUCCUUUGGUCAGCGUAGCUUUUCUGUCGGUCUCUAGAGGCUUUCAAUCGUUCACGAAUCUGAACGAUCUUCUCUGUCGUUUCUCGUAUGAUUUCCGGACCGGUGAGAGUGCUUUCAGGAACUCUUCCUCUAGCUAACUGGGUAUCGCCAACUUCAGUCCAACACAGAGGGGAUCUGCACUUUCGACCAUAGAGGGCUUCAAACGGAGCAGCCUUUAUGCUUGUAUGAUAACUAUUGUUGUAUGAAAAUUCGACAAGGGGUAAAUGGAUAUCCCAUGCCUUUCCAAAGUCAAUCACACAGGCUCUCAGCAUAUCUUCUAAAGUUUGUAUCGUUCUCUCACUUUGCCCGUCUGUUUGUGGGUGGUAGGCUGUACUCAUGUCUAGCCUAGUCCCCAUGGAACUUUGUAGUGACUGCAAGAAUCAUGAAGUGAAUCUACUAUCUCUAUAGGAGAUAAUGGAUAUCGGAACACCAUGCAGUCACACUACUUCCCUUAUGUAAGUUCUUGCAAGCUUUUCCAUUUUUUCAGUCUCCUUGAUGGGUAGGAAAUGCGCGGAUUUGGUCAAUCUGUCGACGAUGACCCAUAUGAUAUCGAGUCCACCCGUCGUCUUGGGUAACUUGGUUAUAAAGUCCAUAGUAAUCCGCUCCCAUUUCCAUUCUGGUAUCCCCGGUUGUUAUAGUAAUCCUGACGGUUUCUGAUACUCGACCUUAACCUUAGCGCAAGUAAGACAUUUACUCACGAAGGUAGCAAUUUCUGCUUUCAUGUUAGGCCACCAGUACAGUUUCUUAAGAUCCAGAUACAUUUUAUCUGAACCCGGGUGAACGGAAUAUCUUGAGUUGUGAGCCUCGGUCAUGACUACGUUUCUGAAACCACCAUGAUUUGGGGUCCAGAUUCGGUCCAUGAGAUAGUAGGCUCCGCCACCCUUGACUUCUAAAUUCUUCUCCAUUCCUCGCAGGGAUUCACCCGCCACAUUUUCAGGUUGCAAAGCUUCCAUUUGUGCUUCCUUAAUUUGUGUGGAUAAGUGGGAAUGGAUAGUCAUGGUCAGAGAUUUGACCCUCCGACCAGUGUAUUCCUUUCGACUGAGGGCGUCGGCUACUACGUUGGCCUUGCCAGGAUGAUAACGAAUUUCGCAUUCGUAGUCAUUCAGUAACUCAACCCAUCGUCGUUGUCGCAUGUUGAGUUCCUUCUGAUCGAAAAUGUGUUGAAGGCUCUUGUGAUCGGUGAAUAUAGUACUCUUUGUUCCGUAUAAGUAGUGCCUCCAGAUCUUCAGAGCAAAUACCACUGCUCCUAACUCGAGGUCGUGUGUCGUAUAGUUCACUUCGUGUGUCUUAAGCUGUCGGGAGGCAUAAGCGAUAACCUUCCCUCUCUGCAUAAGAACACAACCAAGUCCUUGAUUUGAAGCAUCGCAAUACACUACGAAGUCUUCUAUCCCUUCGGGGAGGGAUAGUAUCGGUGCGGUGCACAAGGCCUGCUUUAGUGUCUGGAAUGCCUUCUCUUGUUUCGCUUCCCAGUCAAAGGCCACACCUUUCUGGGUUAAUGAAGUAAGAGGUUUCGCAAUGCUCGAAAAGUUCUUUAUGAAUCUGCGAUAGUAGCCAGCUAGACCUAGAAAUUGACGAAUUUCUGUAGGUGUCUUUGGUGCCGACCAGUUCUCAAUAGCCUUAAUUUUGGAGGGGUCCACGUGUAUACCUUUCUCGCUAACAACGUGACCUAAAAAUUCGACUCUUCGAAUCCAAAAUUCGCAUUUAGAGAACUUCGCAUAGAGUUUCUCCGUUCGCAGUGUUUCUAGGACUUUUCGUAGGUGUUGACUAUGCUCUUCCUCACUUCGAGAGUAGAUAAGUAUAUCAUCGAUAAAGACGAUGACGAACUGAUCCAAGUAAGGGCGGCAUACCCUAUUCAUUAGGUCCAUAAAUACUGCUGGUGCAUUGGUUAAUCCGAACGGCAUCACCACGAAUUCGUAGUGUCCAUAACGAGUUCGGAAGGCUGUCUUUGGAAUGUCCCCCUCUAGAACUCGUAAUUGGUGAUAUCCGGAUCGCAGGUCUAUUUUGGAGAAGUAGUUCGCCCCUUGAAGUUGAUCGAAUAGGUCGUCGAUACGGGGUAGAGGAUAGCGGUUCUUGACAGUAAGUUUGUUCAGCUCUCUGUAGUCGAUGCACAUACGGAACGAUCCGUCUUUCUUCUUUACAAACAAGACCGGUGCUCCCCAAGGUGAGAAACUUGGUCUUAUGAAUCCUUUGUGAAGGAGUUCAUUAAGUUGACUGGAAAGUUCCUGCAUCUCUGCUGGUGCAAGACGAUAAGGCGACUUCGCUACUGGGGUAGCUCCUGGAAUUAAGUCGAUUCUGAACUCGACUUGGCGUUGCGGUGGUAAUCCUGGUAGUUCUUCUGGAAAGAUAUCGGGAAAGUCGCGUACUACCGAGAUGCUCUUGAUGUCCUUCAGUUCUUGACUUGUAUCGACGAUGUGCGCUAGGAAUGCUCGACAAUCCUUCCGCAAGCACUUUCGAGCUUGGAUGCACGAAAUGAUGCGAAGGUUUGCACUAGAUUUGUCGCCGUAGAUAACUAAUGUUUCGUUGUUAGGGAGGUUAAGACGGACUGCUUUCUCAAAGCACAUGAUGUCGGCGCGAAGAAGACUCAACCAAUCCAUGCCGACUAUGACGUCGAAACUUUUAAUUUGAACCGGCAUGAGAUUGAUUGGGAAAGAAUGGCCGUCUAAUGUUAACGUACAGCCCAUGUAUAUGCAAUUUGUGUUUUCGGUUUUUCCAUUGGCCAUCUCUACAGUGAAUGAUUUUUCUAACUUGCUAGGUUUAGGUUUAAGUAAAUGAAUAAAGUUUUGACUCACGAAGCUUCUCUCCGCUCCACUAUCGAAUAAUAUGCAUGCGUAUGAAUUAUCGAGAAGGAACGUACCAGCAACUAUAGUUGGGUCAGCUACAGCUUCGUCGUGGCCUAUUGCCAAAACUCGUCCCACACCUCCGGUGCCUGCUGCCUUAGGACAGUUUCUCUUGUAGUGGCCCACCUCGCCACAACCGUAGCAAGCCUGCCCUACACCCGCACCGGGAACUUGAGUGAUCGGCUUUGCGGGUUCCUUGCAGAAACGGGCUGUGUGUCCUUUCCUGCUGCAGUUGGCGCACUGCAUAUCUCGACAAGGUCCAUGGUGGUGGUAAUUGCAUUUGGUGCAUUUUGGGAGGUUGCCUAUAUAAGGCUUUGUUGGGUAGGUAUUUGUAGGGGCUGUAGCAGGUACAAUGGCAGCAUUUACUGACACCAGUUGUUUCUUUGCGGAUUCUUGGGAAGACCCACCCUUCCCUUUAAUCCACGCUCUCUUCCUGCCAUUGUUGUUGUUGUUGUUGUUGUUGUUGUUGUUGUUGUUUCCUUUCUGUGGUGCUGGUGCAGAAGUGGUUGAGUUCUGAUGACCUCCGUAGUCGAUCAGAGAUUGUGCCAGUUCCUUAGCACUUUCAAAGGUGUCAGGUUUAGAAGCUAACACGCUUGAUCGCAUUUGGGGCGUCAGUCCCCAGAUGUACCUUUCUAUCUUCUUGCUCUCGGGAGCAAUCAUAUCUGGACAAAGGAUUGCCAGUUCGCAGAAUCUGUUGGUAUAAGUAGCGAUGUCGGUACCCACCAUUCCGAGAGUCCAUAGCUCGUGUUCAAGCUUUUGAAUUUCUCCCCGUGGGCAGUAUUCUCUCAUCAUCAUGGCCUUCAAGCUCUCCCAGCUUAUGGAGUUUGCCACGAUUAGGGUAAGUACUUUAACGUGGCCAUUCCACCAAGUUAAAGCUUUAUCGAGAAGGGUGAAAGUUGCAAAUUUGACCUUGCUGUGCUCGGGGCAGGAGCAGAUUUCAAAGACUGCCUCCGUCCUUUCAAUCCACUGCCUCAGGGCCAUCACACCACCAGUACCAUAAAACAUCCGGGGCUUGGCAUUAGUGAAGUCCUUAUAGGUGCAUUCUCGAGGUGGUCCAUGACUCUCGCCAUGGUUGGAUAGGUGUGUGCCAGAUCCCGAGCCAUUAGUACUCGAGUUAUUGAUCUGUGACAUGGCAGCUGCCACCGCUGCGGUGACUGCUGCUUGAAACAUUACAGCAUCAAAUUGGGGUGGUGGAGGUGGUGGUGGUAUAGGUGCUUCCUCACCGUUGUUUCGCCUUGGAUUCCUACGCGGAGGCAUCCUUCAACUAUAGAUUGAAAAGACAAGGAUAAGAAUUUCAUAGAAUGGAAAAUGUAUGUGUCUCAUGAACUAAAUCGCUAUAGUUCAACAACAGAUGAUAGUAUGAGUCUUAAAAUAGAAGAAUGAAAGUUAUUUGUAAGACUGAAGGUAUGAAACAAGUAUUUGGGUUCACAAAGACCAUUCAAGGUUCGAACGAAAUACUCAACAUAGUAGUAAUAGUGCCACUUAUAUUAAUAUAAAAGUUGUUACAACGAUCAUGAAAAUUUGACCCCUAUAAGGGUCUCCGAUUACAAAGUUCGAGAAAUUUAAAGACUUUUAGCCGAGGUCCUAAGCUAUAACAAAAUUUGAGUCCUUGACAAGCACUACUUGCGUCGAAGGUUGCGCUUGGAGCUUGACUCCGUAUCUGAUUGCUUUGACUCCAUUAGACGCCUAUCGAAAGCGGCUUGUUGUUCCCUUAGUUCGGCGAGGGCUGCAAUCAUUUGCGCUUGAAACGCUUCGGUUUGGAAUUGAGCGUUGUCUUGCAUCUUGUCCAGCCUACGGAUGUCAGAAGUGUGAACCUGCACUUCCACGUUGAUAUCCCGGAGUCGACUAGCUUGUACUCCAGACUGAUAGGACUGAUUGGCUAACUUACCCACCAUUACCGGGAGUGCUCGAUCAGCCGAACCUCCGCCGCGGACAUCAUAGAAGUCCCGGCACAUGCCGUAGGGAGGGCGUAGGUUUUGCUGUUGGCUCCAAUGGUGGAGGUGACUUCCCCAGACGGGAGUCGGUCCUUGAAAGUUCCUUACGAAGACGGGAGGUUGAAUGGGUGGUGGAUCGAUAACUUCCGGCUCUGAGUCGGUACCGGAGUCAUCACCCACUUCUAUGGGUUCCUCGUCCUCUUCGGGAUCAUCUUCGAUCCAUCCUCCGUUGCCUUGGUUGGGAAAGUAGGGGUCGCCAGGGUGGUGAAAUCCAGCCAUUUGACUGUACGAGAAAUAGGGUUAUAAGAAUUGAAUAAAGUCGGAACAUGUAAAACAUGUAAGUUAAACUAGUUUAGAUAGCAAAUACUCCUAUAGUAUUUAAAUUCUUGUGUUUGAUUCUUGUAAUGGUUUGGUAAGUUUUGACUUGUUGCUUACUACGAUCAUUCCUCGAUAUACGUUGGUCCAAUCUUGGGCAAAUAUAGUUGAUCACGCUAUAUUUGUCCAAAAUCUGAUUACAUAUAUCGAGUCUCAAUCGUAGUGUCAACUUGUCUAAAUACUUGUAUAGUUGUAUAACAUGAAAAUAGUUUGUGGUAUGCAUGUAAUUGUACUUAAAUGAACUAUCAAUUUAAGUUGAACGAAAUGCUGCUUAAGUGUAAAAAGAAAAUUUGUUUUGUCAGAGAGUAUUAGUCCCUUAAGCAUUUAUAGUUUGUAUAUCUUAUGUGGUUCGAUAUACUUAGUUCACUAUAAACAUUGCUCUGAUACCAAUCUGUCACACCCCCAAACCUGAACGGCGGAAACGUUCGGGGGCGGAUGACUUCAUGUGGUAACGUAACAAAUGAAUACAUAGUAAAGAAAGCAAUACAACCAUCAUAUAUAUAAUUGAAAGUUUACAUUUGUCAAAAGUUACAUGUUCAAAACUCAAUUACAAUAUGAUGUCAAAAUACGAGAUUAAACUGGCGCCGCAGCAUCCCUUCAUCAAAAGCGAAAUGAAUACCUGAAAUUACUGAUUUCCUGGGACAUACAAGUAAUUUUGAAAGAGUAGAUCAGCAUUUAAGCUGGUGAAUUUCAUAAGUAUUUAAGUGACAAUGUUUGAAUGAAAUGAAAUGUUUUAUCUUUGUUUGUUUGUGUUUAGAAAAUCCUAUAUUUUCUACUAGUAUAAAAGUAGCCUUCACUCAAGACCAAUGUUUGUUUCCAAAAUGUAUGUAAAUGUAAAAUAACCAAUGAGUUUGAAAACCUUGUAAAUCAAUGCAUUUUUAAUACCCCUUGUGAGUUUUAUAACCAUACUAUUGACUCUGAAUGCCUAUACACAACGUUCUUCAGGCGUUGGAAUGUUAUGACGUUUGUCACCCCAAACGGUGGACUGCAGCUAACAGUCAGGGCGCGGGUUGUCAAGCCCGUAUAGAUCUAUACACAAACACCAUGCUCCCCCUCCAAGGGAUUCUGGUAUAUAAUACAGGACUUGAAAUGUGUACUCGAACGUACAUGAAGUUAGUGUCUCACAAAUCCGUGGUAUAAAAACAGAUCUACUUGUUAAAAUGUUACGUUUGUUCUUGUAUACGAAAGUAAACUUCUUGAAAUAUGUGUUUCUAGUACAUAAGAGUUAGAAAUCUGUUCGUAAAACUAUACCUAUUAUAGUUUCCAAAAAGCGUGUCUUGUUUGUUUAGAAAUAUUGAGAAAAGGAAUCACUUGUUUAUGAAAGUAUAGAUUUUUGGUGUAGAGUCUAGGAUAGACAAGAAAAAUCUAAGAACAGUUUAGUUUAUACAUGCAUUACAACAACAUUAUAUUUUAAAAGGUAAAAUGCUAUUGUGACAUAUGUUAUAUAUAUAUAAAAGUUCCUUUAAAUGUUUAUAAAUCGCAUGUGAUUUGAAUAUAUAACAGUAUAUAAAAGAGUUUCUUUAUGUAACACACGAUAAUACUCGUGUGUUUUACUUGUAAUCCCCCCCUUGAAAGCAUAUAAAAGUAUUUAGAAUAAUUAAAAAGGUUGAUUAAGGGGUAUGAAACUCACUUGAAAGUUUUGGAGAUAGCGAGAUGGAAAACCGGGCAGAGUUUCGUCUCGGGAAACGGAUUUUCCUCGGGAUUCUCGGGAAUCUCGGGAGUAAAAUCGACCUUCGGGACUUGAGCCAAAAAGACCAGAGCUUCGGGUUUGAACGGACACGGAAAACGAGGCAAAGUUGAGAGAGAGAGAAGAGAAAUGAACCCUUUCUUUGGAAACCCUCGCAUCCUAUUUAUAGUAAGGCUGGUCUGCCUCGGUACGCGGGGCGUACGCUCGUACGCAGCGCGUACGCGUACGUCAUGCAUGACCGAAGCCUCGACUGCCUCGGUUCGGAUGGGACGGGUUGCUGGGUACGCGGGUCGGAUGGGACGCCGGGUCGGAUGGGACGUCGGGUCGGACGGGUCGGGGCUUCGGACGGGUCGGAUGGGUCGGUUUCUUCGGAUAGCGCGACGUGGACGAUCAGAGGCCAAUCCUCUCGGUUACGCGGGGCGUACAGGGGUACGCAGCGCGUACCUCGGAGGAGGAUGCUGACUCCCCUUCGGAUAAUAUCCGAAUUUUGAAUUAAAUAAAUAAUUAAUUUAUUUAAUAAACUUCAAAAAUUCAUAUCUUCUUCAUACGAACUCCGUUUUCGAUGGUCUUUAUAUCCUCGCGUAGGUGAGACUACGCUCUACAACUUUCGUUUAGACUCCGUCGGCAAAUUCCAAAAUUAUAUUUUUAUUAUUUAUUAAAAACCCAUCGUGUUUAAGGAAUUUCUUUGAAAAUUCAUAACUUCUUUAUCUGAUGUCGGUUUUUGCCAGACUUUUUACCGCUGGAAUACCAUUGUCGAGACCUUCGAUUCUCGUUUAGGUCAUUCCGGCCAAAAGUCGCUCGAUCUCCGAUUCGAGUUUUUAGCUGUCUGUUGCUAAGCCGAACUUGGAAAAAUCAUAACUUCGCUAUAUGAAGUCGGAUUUGGGCGUUCUUUUCACGUACGAUCAUGGUUCAAAGACAUUUAAUCAUAGAAGGAAAUUAAGUAGAACUUAUUUAUACAUUUUAUUAUGAAAGUAACUUUUUAUUAUUCAGAAGUGGUUACAAUACUUGACCCAUUUUGGUCGUUACAAAGAGUUGAAAUAUCGGGUUGUCACAUCAUCCCCCCGUUAGAGAGAAUUUCGUCCCGAAAUUUAAAGUAGUAAAGAUACUAGUGAACAUGAAAGAGAUGAGGGUACUUUUGUUUCAUCUGAUCUUCGCGUUCCCAUGUGAAUUCAGGUCCCCGCUUGGCGUUCCAGCGAACCUUCACGAUGGGUAUGCGACUUUGUUUUGUUUGUUUGACCUCUCGGUCCAUGAUUUCUACUGGUUCUUCCACAAAGUUGAGGCUCUCGUUGAUCUCGAUCUCGUCGAGUGGAAUAACAAGAGUCUCGUCGGACAGACACUUUUUCAAGUUUGAGACGUGGAAGGUUGGAUGGAUGUUACUAAGUUCGCGCGGUAGGUUAAGCUUGUAAGCCACAGGGCCGAUUCUGGCAAGAAUCUCGAAAGGCCCUAUGUAUCUUGGAUUUAGUUUCCCACGCUUUCCAAAUCGUAUUAAACCCUUCCACGGUGAGACCUUUAAUAAGACGUGGUCUCCUACCUGGAAUUCCAAAGGUUUCCUCCUUUGGUCAGCGUAGCUUUUCUGUCGGUCUCUUGAGGCUUUCAAUCGUUCACGAAUCUGAACGAUCUUCUCUGUUGUUUCACGUAUGAUCUCCGGACCGGUGAGAGUGCUUUCAGGAACUCUUCCUCUAGCUAACUGGGUAUCGCCAACUUCAGUCCAGCACAGAGGGGAUCUGCACUUUCGACCAUAGAGGGCUUCAAACGGAGCAGCCUUUAUGCUUGUAUGAUAACUAUUGUUGUAUGAAAAUUCGACAAGGGGUAAAUGAAUAUCCCAUGCCUUUCCAAAGUCAAUCACACAGGCUCUCAGCAUAUCUUCUAAAGUUUGUAUUGUUCUCUCACUUUGUCCGUCUGUUUGUGGGUGGUAGGCUGUACUCAUGUCUAGCCUAGUCCCCAGGGAACUUUGUAGUGACUGCCAGAAUCUUGAAGUGAAUCUACUAUCUCGAUCGGAGAUAAUGGAUAUCGGAACACCAUGCAGUCGCACUACUUCCCUUAAGUAAGUUCUUGUAAGCUUUUCCAUUUUGUCAGUCUCCUUGAUGGGUAGGAAAUGCGCGGAUUUGGUCAAUCUGUCGACAAUGACCCAUAUGGUAUCGAGUCCACUUGUCGUCUUGGGUAACUUGGUUAUGAAGUCCAUAGUAAUCCGCUCCCAUUUCCAUUCUGGUAUCUCUGGUUGUUGUAGUAAUCCUGACGGUUUCUGAUACUCGACCUUAACCUUAGCGCAAGUAAGGCAUUUACUCACGAAGGUAGCAAUUUCUGCUUUCAUGUUAGGCCACCAGUACAGUUUCUUAAGAUCCAGAUACAUUUUAUCUGAACCCGGGUGAACGGAAUACCUUGAGUUGUGAGCUUCGGUCAUGACUACGUUUCUGAAACCACCAUGUUUCGGGGUCCAGAUUCGGUCCAUGAGAUAGUAGGCUCCGCCACCCUUGACUUCUAGAUUCUUUUCCAUUCCUCGCAGGGAUUCACCCGCCACAUUUUCAGGUUGCAAAGCUUCCAUUUGUGCCUCCUUAAUUUGUGUGGAU
rnacentral:lncRNA from 1 species